GUAUAAAGAAAUUUGCUUUCAUAAUGGUAAAAAAAGGCAGUGACUUAUGACAUUUGACAGCUACGUCAAAUCUUGUGUUGAAAUAAAUAGGUCAAAUUUUAUUUGACAUAUACUGCCCAACAAGUUCAAUUGUAAUUGUUUUGUUUGUAAUCAUUGUAAUCAUUGUUUUUGUAGUAAAAUUUUGAAUAAACCUGGUAAGAGUUUAAAGUUUUGAAUAAACGUUUUGUAAGUGUA